GACGAACGCUGGCGGCGUGCCUAAUACAUGCAAGUCGAACGCACAGUUUAUACCGUAGCUUGCUACACCAUAGACUGUGAGUUGCGAACGGGUGAGUAACGCGUAGGUAACCUGCCUGGUAGCGGGGGAUAACUAUUGGAAACGAUAGCUAAUACCGCAUAAUAUUAAUUAUUGCAUGAUAAUUAAUUGAAAGGUGCAAUUGCACCACUACCAGAUGGACCUGCGUUGUAUUAGCUAGUAGGUGAGGUAACGGCUCACCUAGGCGACGAUACAUAGCCGACCUGAGAGGGGGAUCGGCCACACUGGGACUGAGACACGGCCCAGACUCCUACGGGAGGCAGCAGUAGGGAAUCUUCGGCAAUGGACGAAAGGCUGACCGAGCAACGCCGCGUGAGUGAAGAAGGGUGUCGGAUCGUAAAGCUCUGUUGUAAGAGAAGAACGGGUGUGAGAGUGGAAAGUUCACACUGUGACGGUAUCUUACCAGAAAGGGACGGCUAACUACGUG
rnacentral:rRNA from 1 species